GGCCCGGCUGCAGCCCCCCGCCCGCCCCUCGCGCCUCGUGCGGCCCGUCUGUGUCCCCGCCGCCGGCGUCACCCUUCGUGCCCGGCCUGAACUGCACCGUCACCGGCUGGGGACACGUCCGCACUGCCGUGCCGCUGCCACCCCCGCGCACGCUGCAGCAGCUGGAGGUUGCCCCUGCUGAGCCAGCGCCACUGCCACUGCCUGUACGCGCUGGGGACAGCGACAGGCGACGGGCUGGGGACACCCGCGGGGGGACACGCUGUGCGCCGGGCUGCCGCAGGGCCAGCGCGACGCCUGCCAGGGCGACUCCGGGGGUCCCCUCGCCUGCCGGCUCGGUGGCACCUGGCA